UUAUUCAAAAAAUAUUCAUCGAGCAUUAAUAUAGAAGAAGGCAAAAGUAGGCUUACAAUUAUCCAUAUAUAUAAAAGGCUAACGGACUGUGACGACUGGCUGGUAGCUAUGACACGCACUGACCACCAGGGGACAAUGCAGGAGCUGCCCCCCAGUGGUCAGUGCGCUCCCACAGCCAAACUCCUGCACCUGGCCAACCUCCCACGGUCCCUCUCCCUGGCCGGCUGACCUGAUCUGCCCCGAUCAUGACUGGGCGAGACGGCCCCGGUCGGCCAGGAGGGACCCCACCCGAGCACGAAUUUGUGCACCAGACCUCUAGCUUCCUGUGGAGGAAGAGUGUGGGAUAACAAUGAAAACAGGUCUGGAAGGCAGGAUUCUGGCUUCUCUUUUGGAAGUCCUGAUGCCUAGAAUACCACUUACUCCAUUUCCAUCUGUUCCAAACCCCACCGAUUUCUUGAAAUACUCAUCUUUUGAGCAGGGGCAGAACCUGCAGAAAUAACACAGUGUGAGAAGACAGCAGGAGAAAGAGGGCCAUGACGUAAAGAAGAAAGGCAUGCCACUUCUGGGUAUAUACCCAAAGGAACUGGAAGCAGGAACUUGAACAGAUAUUUGCACACCCACUGUUCAUACAGCAUGAUUCACAAUAGUGAAAAGAGAAAACUUUUUAGAAACGUGUCCAUGGAUGGAUGAAUGAAUAAACAAAUGUGGUAUAUAUAUACCAUAGAAU